rnacentral:rRNA from 1 species
GGUGUCGGGUGGUCGCCGCAUGAGUCUGGCUCCGUUGCAUAAGGCUGGUCGAUUUCUGAAGUCGCCGCAGGAGUUGCUACGUUGUUGGGGUGCGGCGCAUGCUUUUCGCAUGAAGACGUGCUUCUAGUGCGGAUCGCUUCUCGGCCGGUAUUCGGUGUAUAGUCGGUCACCCAUUUGACCCGUCUUGAAACACGGACCAAGGAGUUUAAGGUGCACGCAAGUCAUUGAGUGGAAAACUCAAAGGCGAAAUGAAAGUGGGACACUUGGUGUCUGUGAUGCGAUCCGUGUAUGAUUCGUUGUGUGCGGAGCAGCAUCGACCCAUGACCAGAACUUGUUCUGUUGUGGCGUCUGAGCGUGUGCUUUGAGACCCGAAAGAUGGUGAACUAUGCCUGAACAGGACGAAGUCAGAGGAAACUCUGAUGGAAGUCCGAAGCGGUUCUGACGUGCAAAUCGAUCGUCUGAUUUGGGUAUAGGGGCGCAAGACUAAUCGAACC